AUACGGAGGGUGCAAGCGUUACUCGGAAUCACUGGGCGUAAAGCGCGCGCAGGCGGCUUGAUAAGUUGGAUGUGAAAGCCUACGGCUCAACCGUAGAACUGCAUCCAAAACUGUCAAGCUAGAGUCUGGGAGGGGAAGAUGGAAUUAGUUGUGUAGGGGUAAAAUCCGUAGAGAUAACUAGGAAUACCAAAAGCGAAGGCGAUCUUCUGGAACAGUCCUGACGCUGAGGCGCGAAAGCGUGGGGAGCAAACAGGAUUAGAAACCCUAGUAGUCC
rnacentral:rRNA from 1 species